rnacentral:rRNA from 1 species
UGGGGAAUAUUGCACAAUGGGCGAAAGCCUGAUGCAGCAACGCCGCGUGAGUGAUGAAGGCCUUCGGGUUGUAAAGCUCUGUCUUUUGGGACGAUAAUGACGGUACCAAAGGAGGAAGCCACGGCUAACUACGUGCCAGCAGCCGCGGUAAUACGUAGGUGGCAAGCGUUGUCCGGAUUUACUGGGCGUAAAGGAUGCGUAGGCGGAUUUUUAAGUGAGAUGUGAAAACCCUAAGCUUAACUUGGGGACUGCAUUUCAUACUGGAAAUCUAGAGUGCGGGAGAGGAGAAUGGAAUUCCUAGUGUAGCGGUGAAAUGCGUAGAGAUUAGGAAGAACACCAGUGGCGAAGGCGAUUCUCUGGACCGUAACUGACGCUGAGGCAUGAAAGCGUGGGUAGCAAAACAGGAUUAGAUACCCUGGUAGUCCACGCCGUAAACGAUGAGUACUAGGUGUAGGAGGUAUCGACCCCUUCUGUGCCGCAGUUAAACACAAUAAGUACUCCGCCUGGGAAGUACGAUCGCAAGAUUAAAAACUCAAAAUG